CCUACGGGUGGCAGCAGUCGAGAAUCAUUCACAAUGGGGGAAACCCUGAUGGUGCGACGCCGCGUGGGGGAAUGAAGGUCUUCGGAUUGUAACCCCCUGUCAUGUUGGAGCCAAUUAAAAAGAUAGUACCACAAGAGGAAGCGACGGCUAACUCUGUGCCAGCAGCCGCGGUACUACAGAGGUCUCAAGCGUUGUUCGGAAUCACUGGGCGUAAAGCUUGCGUAGGCUGGUUCGUACGUCAUGUGUGAAAGGCGCGGGCUCAACCCGCGGACGGCACAUGAUACUGCGAGACUAGAGUAAUGGAGGGGGAACCGGAAGUCUCGGUGUAGCAGUGAAAUGCGUAGAUAUCGAGAGGAACACUCGUGGCGAAGGCGGGUUCCUGGACAUUAACUGACGCUGAGGCACGAAGGCCAGGGGAGCGAAAGGGAUUAGAUACCCCAGUAGUC
rnacentral:rRNA from 1 species